rnacentral:tRNA from 1 species
GGCUGGGUAGCUCAGUGGAUUGAGAGCUCAGCCUAGAGGUGGGAGGUCCUAGGUUCGAAUCCUUCUUCAGCCA